rnacentral:rRNA from 1 species
CAGAUUGCAGUCUGCAACUCGACUGCAUGAAGUCGGAAUCGCUAGUAAUCGCGGAUCAGCAUGCCGCGGUGAAUACGUUCCCGGGCCUUGUACACACCGCCCGUCACACCAUGAGAGUCGGGAACACCCGAAGUCCGUAGCCUAACCGCAAGGAGGGCGCGGCCGAAGGUGGGUUCGAUAAUUGGGGUGAAGUCGUAACAAGGUAGC